GAAGCAGGUUGCAAUUGCAGUUCUUCAUUCAAUUGGUUUGCUGCCAUUAUCCUGCUGAGAGUAAAGAUGCCAGUUGUCUUUCAGAUUUCCCCUUCAUGUAGGAGAAAUCAUACACUGGCAUUGACAGUG